rnacentral:rRNA from 1 species
UGUAGGUGAACCUGCAGAAGGAUCAUU